CCUACCUUGGUGCUUAGAGCCGCAGUCGCACUCUCUCCGUUAGGGUUCCGCUGUGUUGACAGUCCGCCUCCCGUUUGGCCGUUCUUAGCUCACCUUCGAGUCCGUUCCUAGAAGUUGUUCGUCCUCCACAGUUUGGGUGUCGAGGUUUUCAGCUAGCUUGUCCAGAUGGACGAGGUUCUCGUGGUCCGCAAGGAAAUGGCGAUUCCGCUGCUUAGCCAUCUGGGCUGAAGUUUAAUUUUUUUCCCGUCAUGGUUAUUUAGGGCAAUGACCCAUGUAUUGCCUUAUGCUUUACUACUCUAUUCUCCUGUUAGACUUUUAUUUUGUUCCCUUGGCAUCGUGGUGUGCCUAGAACUUGUAGGGGCUGUGUAUG